CAAGGACAAGGCUGGGUUUGGUAUGUGUGAUGGAAAAAGCUUUUGCUAAAUGCAGGGAAAGCAGGGAGAAGGAAUCUGUUAGCUCCUGGAGGGUGAGUAGGCAUGACAGAGGUAGGGUUAGGGUGGGCAGCUGCAGCAGAGAGCAGAGGAAGAGGUGAGUAAAGAAAGAAUGGGUUUGGAGGAAGGAAAGUGCUUUUGGUCUUGGCUGUAUUAAUCCUGAUUUGUCAAGAAGAAGCAUAUGGAAGGUGGACAGAGACAGGGGGCUGGCACUAAGAGAUGGAGAUGGAAUGGGGGAGCCUGUGCAUCCAUCAGCUCUAGGGAUGCAGCUAAAGCUGGGAAAGGGUGAUCCUGAAGGACAGUGACACCCCAGGGCAGGGCCAGGCUCCUCCAGCCCUCCUUUCUACCCUUGUGUCCAUCUUCUCCAGCUCAGGGAAUCACUCCUGGUGCUCCUUCAGCAGCAUUUGGCUUGGUUUCCACUACCUCUGCUGCACUCCAUCCCACCAUCUGGGAUUUCCUAGCAGAGAGAGGGUUUUUUGCUGGAGCUUGACUGACUGGAGUCCUGUCCCCUGUGCUGCCAAGUCUGAUAUCUGAGGAGGAAGGAGAGAAGGGAGGAGCCAAGGAGAGAUGCUUUUGCCCUGGCUCAGCCUCAGCACAUUCCCUCACGGUAUGGGCUGGGUUUCCUUUAGGCAGGAGAGCAGUAAAGCUGUUUAGAAUAAAGCACAAGGCUCUUUCCCAGUCCCAGUUGGGGUUUCAUGUCUUUCAGUCAGUAUUUCAUUAGCAUGUUCCACAGCACAUGCUGAUGAGGGACACAAGGUGCCUUAUGUCCUGGUACAUCUC
rnacentral:lncRNA from 12 species